GACGAACGCUGGCGGCGUGCUUACCACAUGCAAGUCGAACGGAGUGGCGAACGGGUGAGUAACACGUGGGUGACCUGCCCUGCACUUCGGGAUAAGCCUGGGAAACUGGGUCUAAUCCCGGAUCGUGUGGGCUGGGCCCGCGGCCUAUCAGCUUGUUGGUGGGGUAAUGGCAUACCAAGGCGGCGACGGAUGGCCGGCCUGGGCGGGUGGACGGCCACAUUGGUGCUGAGACACGAGCCAGACUCCUACGGGAUGCAGCAGUGCUGAAGAUUGGACAAGUGGCGGAAGCCGGAUGCAGCGACGUCGGGUGGUGUAUGACGUGCUUCCGGUUGUAAACUCCUUUCUCCGUCGACGCGGUAGAUGGAGAAGAAGCACCGGCUAACUACGUGCCAGCAGCCGCGGUAAUAC
rnacentral:rRNA from 1 species